UACGGGGGGUGCGAGCGUUGUCCGGAAUCACUGGGCGUAAAGGGCGCGUAGGUGGUUUGAUAAGGGUGUGGUGAAAGUCCGGGGCUCAACCCCGGAUCUGCCGUGCCGACUGUCAAACUCGAGGACUGUAGAGGCAGACGGAAUUCCGGGUGUAGCGGUGGAAUGCGUAGAGAUCCGGAGGAAGACCGGUGGCGAAGGCGGUCUGCUGGGCAGUUUCUGACACUGAGGCGCGGACAGCGUGGGGAGCAAACAGGG
rnacentral:rRNA from 1 species